rnacentral:tRNA from 1 species
GGCGGCAUAGCUCAGUUGGUAGAGCAACGGAAUCAUAAUCCGUUUGUCGUCGGUUCAAGUCCGGCUGCCGCUA